rnacentral:misc_RNA from 1 species
CCGAAAUUAAAAAAACCACCCGUAAAAAACCCCCCCCCGCCUUGUGCGGGUAGAGGACCCUUGUCUUCUUUAUAUUUCUCCAAACUGGGCACCUCUUGGCCACUUGGAGCUGGAUUUUGUUCGAGUUGGGGCCGCCGUGCCUCCAAGUAAGCUAUGCCUUGCAGGUCUCCUUUCACCAAAAUGUUUAGAAUGGUUGGCCUAUGUGUAGGGGAGGGUACCAAUUUCAGCACGGAUCUCUUGGUUCCGCCGUCCAUGAGGACCCCGCGAAGGCGACGGUAUGUGAAUUGCCCAAUAAGUGAACCUCCCCCUCGUUGACCCCCUUGCGGUCCUUGGUUCCCCAGGAGCAUGCCCGUUUGAGUGCCCUUUAACCUCUCCCCCAUGUCCAUUGUUUUUUUGAUAUCCUUCGCAUGGGGGGGUUUUAUCUUCGGAUGCAUUGAAGGAACCCCCGCCCCCCUGGCACCCCUUAGUCGUAUCUGAGCGAACUGCGCUACCCCCCGUGAUACCUUCCAUGCCCCGGGCUCUCCCCAUGACCGUUUCGCCGCCUCCCACCGUGCCCUUUAGUGUUGGAUAACUUCGGCCGCGGGCAGCCGGACUACCCCUGAACUAACAUCGGCGGGAGGGGAGCAACC